CUUGAGAUGAAUGGAGCCAUUCCCACCUCCGAGACCUGUCCUUUCAAGCCAGCUGCAGAAUAUGUGAAGACUGUGGCCUCAUAGAAAUGCAGGCUUGGAGACAGAACCAGCCCACUGGCCAAUCAAGUCCUGUGUCUUGCCUUUGCAUCCUCCCUAGACUAUGUACACCAGAGCAGAGACUUACCUUUCUGAGCACCACCAUCCUGCC